UACGUAGGGGGCUAGCGUUGUCCGGAAUCAUUGGGCGUAAAGAGCGUGUAGGCGGUCCGGUAAGUCCGCUGUGAAAGUCGGGGGCUCAACCCUCGAAUGCCGGUGGAUACUGUCGGGCUAGAGUGCGGAAGAGGCGAGUGGAAUUCCUGGUGUAGCGGUGAAAUGCGCAGAUAUCAGGAGGAACACCUAUUGCGAAGGCAGCUCGCUGGGACGUAACUGACGCUGAGACGCGAAAGCGUGGGAAGCAAACAGG
rnacentral:rRNA from 1 species